GGGUUUAUUUUCUUGAUGGAUUAGAGGCUUGUAAUUGGAUUGGAGGAAGGCGUCUCUACACCUCUUGGGAAUUAAUUUGUAGAGUCUCAAUCUACGCGUUUGCUAUUUUUGGAGAUUCAUAGACUUUUGUGUGGCUCGCCUCAACUCGGAAGACUAGAAAUUUUUUGAAGG